AGCGCCUGAGCACAGGGAGCCUGUUACUGAAGUUUCUGGGGUUUAAAUCCCCUCUAGAGGUUUCCAUUGGUUACUUCCUGUGCACCCUAUGUAAAUGAAGAGGAUGAAGUCAAAUUACAAAGUCGUGUGCUCGGUGUACGCCCUGUGGAAAUGGACAGGAUAUUUCCUGUCAUAGCCCAAGAGUUUCCAUUUGAUUUAGUUCUCCGAAGUCAGGGUGAAUCGGCCUUAUGUUCCUGCCUCCAGACCCUUUUCUCCUGCCCCCGUGGAAUGGAUGGCAGGACAUGGAAAAGUGUUUUGUCCAAAUGACAUGUCCCAGGGCACUGGAAGCUGAGGACAAGAGGGAACCAGUUGGUGCCACUGAGGAAUGCUCACCCGCGUCUCCACACCGCACAGAACAAAGCAAAGUUGGGAACACCUUGAAAUGGGCACUGGUGGAUUUCAAUUCCAGCCUUCCAGAAGCCACUCCAAAUGGAAAUUGAGCUAAGGGAUGUAGCUGGACUCUCUUUGGUUUCACUAUGCAAGCUGACUCUCCCCACCUGAUGAUCCAGUGGGAUUAGCAGGAACCGAGUGGACUACGGCCACCACCCGCAUCCUGUGCCCAUCCAUGAACUGGGGCAGAGGAGAGGACUGAUCUCGUUACUUGGCCUGGCUGGACGUGCUGACCCUCAGGAUCACAGGCAGUGGAAGGAGCAGCUCCUGGAAGGUCAGAGUGGGUCCUGUGACGGAUGGAAAUGACAAGUAUGUUGAGCAACAAAAAUGAUCAGCACUUGGUCUGUGGCAGCAGGAGCUCAGAAGUAAGGAAUCCUAGGGCCUUAUAUGAGUGGCCCAUUGUGGCAAAAACUUUUUUAAACAAAAAAUAGCCCCUAAGGAGUGUUCCAAUGACUACCUCUUAAGCAAUACAAUUGACCUGUGAACAAUGCAGAGAUUAGGGGCACCAACUCGCCACACAGUUGAAAUUCGGACAAUAACUUUUGACUACGCCAAAAGGAAUUUACUAAUAGUCUAUUCUUGGGUGGCAGCCUCAGUGAUCACGCAGAUAGUUGGUUAACGUACAUUUUGUGUGUUAUAUGUAUUGUAUAGUGUAUUCUUACAGUAAAGUAAGCUAG